UCUCUGCCCUAUGAUUGUUAAAUGGCCGCAGUACUCUGACUGUGCAAAGGUAGCAUAAUCAUUAGUUUUUUAAUUGAAAACUGGAAUGAAGGAGUUGACGAGGGGUAAACUUUUUAUUUUAUUUAUAAAUUUGACAUCGAUGUUAGAAGGCUUCGAUAGGCUAGGGGGACGACAAGACCCUGUGAAAUUUUACCUUUAUCUUUGAAUCUUUAAUUAGGAAUAGGGGUUAUACGGUAAGGUUAAGCUGGGGCGGUAUUUGUAUUGGCUACUAAAGAUAUAAUACUAAAAGUAAGAUCUUAGAACCUAUAGUUUAUAAGGUUGAUCAAAUUACUCCAGGGAUAACAGCACAAUCCUCUUGGAUAGUUCAUAUUGGUAAGAGGGCUUGUGACCUCGAUGUUGAAUUGGAAAUACCCGUUUGAGUAGAAGCAGGCGAGGUUAGUCUGUUCGACUAUUAAAUUUUC
rnacentral:rRNA from 1 species